rnacentral:lncRNA from 1 species
AGGUCUUUUUGGGUGGGCUGGGACACGCGGAGGAGCUGGGACCCCGUCGGAUGUUCCCUUUGCAGCAGCCACGCAUGAUUUAUACGCUCCCAUCCCCUCUGGGAGCAGCGGCCUCUUUCUGCCCAGAUUUCCCCCCAAAUCUGCACCCGAACGAGGCUCAAAAGUCUUCAUUUUCAACCCAUUUCCACCGUGGCUGUUCCCUCUGCCCAAAAACCUCCCUGGCCUGGCUGGGGGAAGCGGGAACAGUGCCAGUGGUGCCCCCAAUCCUUGUUUCCCCCCGCCCAGGGGCAUUUUGGCAAGGUGAGCCUCUACUGCUACGACCCCACCAACGACGGCACGGGCGAGAUGGUGGCCGUCAAAUCCCUAAAGGCCGGCUGCAGCCAGCAGCUGCUGGCCAGCUGGAAGAGGGAGAUCGAGAUCCUCAAGACGCUCUACCACGAGAACAUCGUCAAGUACAAGGGCUGCUGCAGCGAGCAGGGGGAGAAGAUCGUGCAGCUGAUCAUGGAGUACGUGCCGCUGGGCAGCCUGCGCGACUACCUGCCCAAGCACAACGUCAGCCUGGCGCACAUCCUGCUCUUCGCCCAGCAGAUCUGCGAGGUAAAAGGCUCCCACCUCUGCUGGGGCGUCCCCGAAAUGGGGAAAAACCUUGGGGAAAAAGCACGGCGACAGCUGGCCGGGCUCCCUGCCUCCUUGAACCUCUGCCUCCCUUUUGGUCUCCCCCUAAAUGUCUCUAAGUCCCGUUUUCUCUCCCCAAAACAGUUCCAAUCCCCUUUUUCCUCCCCAAACUGCCUGUAAUGCCCCUCUAAACUGCCUCAAACUGCCCCCUUUCUCCCCCCCCCAUAUAUCCUUGAUAUAGGGAAAACUUUGGGGGUAAAAGCACAGCGAGAGCUGGCCGGGCUCCCUGCCUCCUUGAAUCUUCGCCUCCCUUUUGGUCUCCCCCUAAAUGGCUCCAAGUCCCGUUUUCUCUCCCCAAAAUGGUUCCGAUCCCCUUUUUCCUCCCCA